ensembl:lncRNA
CUUUUUUAUAUAAACCAAAAUGUUAUAUAUUACUCCAAUGACAUAAUUCUAAAAUUGGAUUAAUUAAUUAAAAACCUAUAAUAUGUAUCUUCCUUUAGCUCAGAUGGCAAAGAAUCUGCCUGCAAUACAGGAGACCUGGGUUUGAUCCCUGGGUGAGGAAAAUCCUCUGGAGAAGGGAAUGGCAAUCCACUCCAGGUUUCUUGCCUGGAGAAUCCCAUGGAUGGAGGACCCUGGCAGGCUUCAGUCUAUGGGGCUGCAAAGAGUCAGACUUGACUAAGCGACUAACACUACUAAUAGAAUGGUUAUUUUGUGUGCUGCUGCUGCUGCUGCUAAGUUACUUCAGUUGUGUCCAACUCUGUGUGACCCCACAGACGGCAGCCCACCAGGCUCCCCUUUCCCUGGGAUUCUCCAGGCGAGAACACUGGAGUGGGUUGCCAUUUCCUUCUCCAGUGCAUGAAAGUGAAAAGUGAAAGUGAAGUUGCUCAGACAUGUCUGACUCUUAGUGACCCCACGGACUGCA